UACGUAGGGCGCAAGCGUUGUCCGGAAUUAUUGGGCGUAAAGAGCUCGUAGGCGGUCUGUCACGUCGGCUGUGAAAUCCCGAGGCUCAACCUCGGGUCUGCAGUCGAUACGGGCAAACUAGAGUAUUGCAGGGGAGACUGGAAUUCCUGGUGUAGCGGUGAAAUGCGCAGAUAUCAGGAGGAACACCGGUGGCGAAGGCGGGUCUCUGGGCAAUAACUGACGCUGAGGAGCGAAAGCGUGGGGGAGCGAACAGG
rnacentral:rRNA from 1 species